rnacentral:lncRNA from 1 species
UUCUUUUCCGCACGAGACAUCCCGCAAGGACGUGUUCCGCCUCUGGAGAGGACAAUGACGACUUGCGUAUUCUACCUCGUCUUGUUUAGCAGAAGGUCCAUCGCCGCCACUCGAGCUGUCCUGGACCCUGCCGUGCCUGCUGUGGCCUCUGCAGCCGCAGCUGAAGGCUGCUCCUUCCAGCUACUCUCAGAAUCCUUACGCUACCGUGGUCACUCCCCGGCUGUUCUGCAGGCUUCAUCAUUGCCCUCUCUCAAGUCUUCGUCCUCCCAGCGAGAAUGCGAAGCUUGGUUGGCCCUGCUCCAGCCCGAGUCUGUUGCCGCACCAUCCGCGCAGCCAACUGUGACUCAACCAAAGACAUCGGUAAGCGUUGGGCUGGAGCUGUCCACACCGUCACUACAGCGCGGCUCACCAGGCCCCCGUGGGCUUGGAAGUUGCCAGCGCCGCCACCUUUGCAUCGCAGCCACGAUCCAGCCCAAAGUCACCAGUCGUGAGAACUGUUAAAGCUUCAGCCAUGAAGCCUCCAUCAGGAUUGGGAUGCCAUCGCUUCGGCUGCCUGGAUGAAGUCCUCACCAAGAGCGGUAGUUAGUGUGGAAGAUAGUGCGUCGUGCUUUGUUGAUGGGCGACUUGCUCCGGUGGCCGUGGUGUUGUCGGGGAGAUACCAUCAAUGCGCCCUUGUGACUACCGCCUGCGAUCUGUGAUUGUCGUGUGUUUUGGCCGGUCGACGGUGACUGAUGAUCUACGGCCAUCGCUUAAUAUUUGUUUUUCAUUAGCCUUCUAUCUUGAUAGAUUAAGGGUAAACAUCAGUUUGUAUAAAUAAAUGCUAAUUAACGAA